UACAGAGGUCCCAAGCGUUGUUCGGAUUCACUGGGCGUAAAGGGUGCGCAGGCGGUUGGGUGUGUCAGAUGUGAAAUCCCGAGGCUCAACCUCGGAACUGCGUCUGAAACUACUCGACUAGAGUACUGGAGAGGGUAACGGAAUUCACGGUGUAGCAGUGAAAUGCGUAGAUAUCGUGAGGAACACCAGAGGCGAAGGCGGUUACCUGGACAGUUACUGACGCUCAGGCACGAAAGCAUGGGGAGCAAAAGGG
rnacentral:rRNA from 1 species